UGCAGCAGAUCAUCUCAAGUUCUGGAACCUGUCCUGCCUCAGACUCGUAACCGACGGCGGCGCGUACGUGGAGCCAUCGUGCCGCCUCGCUCCUGCGCUCGCGGCCGACGCGCGCUGCUGCUCCUGCUGCAAGUCGCGUCUCACGGACCAGAGCAACUCGGCGCAGCGCCGCAUUGCUGGACGCGCGGCGCGAUCCGGAGCCGUGCACUCGGCUGCCAGCACCAUCACCUUCUCCACCGCCGCCACGACAGCGCUGGUCCGCCGCAUCCGGGGGUCCAUCACCACCACUGCGAAGCCCUCCCUGCACUUGCGCAGCGCCUGCGCCAGCACGGACAGCAGCAGCUCAGCUUCUACAUGACAGAUGAAUGAAGAAGAAAGGAAGGUCGAGGAGUGAAGCAGUUUGCGCAUGACCCUAAAAUUGCAGCGACUCUUUCCCGGAAUGAUAUUGAGCUCCUGGCCUUCCUGUUGACCAUACGGGAACGAGGUGUAUAGGUAGAAGUCCAAGAGAACCCAGGAUCUGACUGGGACUCGCUGUUGAAGCCAGAGAAACCUCCAUGGCCGGCUGGGGAUGUCCGGUCGCGAGCUGCCUGCAUAGCUGAUGGGAUUCGAAGAUGGCACGACAGCUGCUCGCGCAUAAUCAGGUACCAUGUUCUUCUGAUUCUUAGCUUUUGUACACUCGGAGUUGAUGGAGGAUGGACUGAUUCAAGACUGAUUCAAAUUUUGACUGGGUGCAUACAUCUUUAUUAUCAUAAAAAGGUGGUUGAAAUGGGUUUUCAGGUCAAGCCAAUGGGGGAUUUAUGAUUUAGGAGUAAAUGUACGUAUGACAACUACUGUUCACAAUAGUUUGAUUGGUGGAGGAUGUCACAAUAGGUAUGUUUACAAUUCCACUGCCGGAGACGAAAUUGACCAUGGCAUCGUCCUUUGGCUUGUCCUCUGAAGCGUUCUCUUGAUGUCA